CGCUCCCCACCAGCCCCUACAGCCCCCAGCCCCUUUAUCCCCGCCCUCCAAGCGCGCCUGGGGGCAGUUCUUCAACAGCUCCCCGCCGCCGCCCCCCCGGCUUCCCCGACGGUCGGAGUUGGAGGCUGAUUGGGUGCCGGGCUCACCGGAUCUGCAGACUACCUCGCCGGAUCCGGAGCCCCCGCUACUGGAUCUGCUACCCGACAGCACCAAAUCAGCUCUCGGGGCGAAGGAUGGGACGCGGUCUUACGCGGAUGUCGUCAGAGCCAGCUUCAAUGCCCCAACCGGCCGAGCCUAUCUGCACCACCAAGGAGAAGACCGCGCUCCUACCCAUGGGGGACGGAGUAACUCCGACGACAAGACGACUACGCGGCGCUUUCAAGGCCCUACGUCAGCGGCGCCACGCCCCGGCUCUCCGUACGGCGGUGUAAUGGACAUACCUCAGCACAAUCUGGC
rnacentral:lncRNA from 1 species